GGCGGGUUGGCAGAAUGGCUAUGCAGCGGAUUGCAAAUCCGUGGACCUCGGUUCGACUCCGGGACCCGCCU
rnacentral:tRNA from 1 species